CAGCCGCCGCGGGAAUACGUAGGUGGCAAGCGUUGUCCGGAAUUAUUGGGCGUAAAGGGCUCGCAGGCGGUUUCUUAAGUCUGAUGUGAAAGCCCCCGGCUCAACCGGGGAGGGUCGUUGGAAACUGGGAAACUUGAGUGCAGAAGAGGAGAGUGGAAUUCCACGUGUAGCGGUGAAAUGCGUAGAGAUGUGGAGGAACACCAGUGGCGAAGGCGACUCUCUGGUCUGUAACUGACGCUGAGGAGCGAAAGCGUGGGGAGCGAAUAGGAUUAGAUACCCCCGUAGUCCCUGUCUCUUAUAA
rnacentral:rRNA from 1 species